rnacentral:rRNA from 1 species
GACGAACGCUGGCGGCGUGCUUAACACAUGCAAGUCGAACGGAAAGGCCCUGCUUUUGUGGGGUGCUCGAGUGGCGAACGGGUGAGUAACACGUGAGUAACCUGCCCUUGACUUUGGGAUAACUUCAGGAAACUGGGGCUAAUACCGGAUAGGAGCUCCUGCUGCAUGGUGGGGGUUGGAAAGUUUCGGCGGUUGGGGAUGGACUCGCGGCUUAUCAGCUUGUUGGUGGGGUAGGGGCUUACCAAGGCUCUGACGGGUAGCCGGCCUGAGAGGGUGACCGGCAACAUUGGGACUGAGUUACGGCCCAGACUCCUACGGGAGGCAGCAGUGGGGAAUAUUGCACAAUGGGCGGAAGCCUGAUGCAGCAACGCCGCGUGCGGGAUGACGGCCUUCGGGUUGUAAACCGCUUUCGCCUGUGACGAAGCGUGAGUGACGGUAAUGGGUAAAGAAGCACCGGCUAACUACGUGCCAGCCGCCGCCGUAA